rnacentral:misc_RNA from 1 species
AACCAACUGAGCUACAAGCUUCUUCGUUUCUCUUUCUUCAGAUGAUGAUCCCAAGCCUUCUGGCGAUCUAGACAAAACAAGUCCACCGUGGGCUUUGAAAAACGCUUUCCUUGAUAAAAUUUAAGCGUUUUAUAAGAGGAUGCCCGGGAAGGUUUUCCGGUUUAUCCCGGAGGGCUUGUAGCUCAGUUGG